UACGAAGGGGGCUAGCGUUGCUCGGAAUUACUGGGCGUAAAGGGCGCGUAGGCGGAUACUUAAGUUAGAGGUGAAAGCCCAGGGCUCAACCCUGGAACAGCCUUUAAUACUGGGUAUCUUGAGUUCGGGAGAGGUGAGUGGAACUCCGAGUGUAGAGGUGAAAUUCGUAGAUAUUCGGAAGAACACCAGUGGCGAAGGCGACUCACUGGCCCGAUACUGACGCUGAGGCACGAAAGCGUGGGGAGCAAACAGG
rnacentral:rRNA from 1 species